CCUUGAUUGCAAUAUCAUUCUUCUUCAUGGAGGAAUCGCCUUCUUCAUUGGCAAUGCUCAUGUACAUCUCAUUGCCAUUAAUCUUCCCCAUGAUUUGAACAAUGUUAUACUUCUCUUUUGGGAGGAUGCUAAGAAGUCUUUUAUGAGACCCAUCUCCAGGAAAGGCGUUUUCGAUGGCAUCGGUUGAGUCAUCACGGAUGCGUGCUUAUACAACGCAUAUGUGCCUUCCUAGUCUGAGCCCGAACUUUUUUCCAAAACCCAAAUGAAUGAAUCUUGUGUCCGCCACAUCUCCCCAUGCCACCAUUUCCU
rnacentral:lncRNA from 1 species